rnacentral:rRNA from 1 species
CCUACGGGAGGCAGCAGUGAGGAAUAUUGGUCAAUGGGCGGAAGCCUGAACCAGCCAAGUAGCGUGCAGGAUGACGGCCCUACGGGUUGUAAACUGCUUUUAUACGGGAAUAACGCGCCUUACGUGUAGGGCUUUGCAUGUACCGUAUGAAUAAGGACCGGCUAAUUCCGUGCCAGCAGCCGCGGUAAUACGGAAGGUCCGGGCGUUAUCCGGAUUUAUUGGGUUAAAAGGGAGCGUAGGCCGCAUGUCAAGCGUGCUGUGAAAGUCCGGGGCCAACCCGGGCCUUGCAGCGCCAACUGGCGUGCUUGAGUCCGCGGAAAGCAGGCGGAAUUCGUCGUGUAGCGGUGAAAUGCUUAGAUAUGACGAAGAACCCCGAUUGCGAAGGCAGCUUGCUGCAGCGGAACUGACGCUGAUGCUCGAAAGCGCGGGUAUCGAACAGGAUUAGAUACCCGUGUAGUC